rnacentral:rRNA from 1 species
UACGUAGGGUCCGAGCGUUGUCCGGAAUUAUUGGACGUAAAGGGCUCGUAGGCGGUCUGUUGCGUCGGGAGUGAAAACUUACAGCUUAACUGUGAGCGUGCUUCCGAUACGGGCAGACUUGAGGUAUUCAGGGGAGAACGGAAUUCCCGGUGUAGCGGUGAAAUGCGUAGAUAUCGGGAGGAACAUCAGUGGCGAAGGCGACCACCUGGCCCAACACUGACGCUGAGGUGCGAAAGCGUGGGGAGCAAACAGG